UACGUAGGGUGCAAGCGUUGUCCGGAAUUAUUGGGCGUAAAGAGCUCGUAGGCGGCCUGUCGCGUCGGAUGUGAAAGCCCGGGGCUUAACCCCGGGUCUGCAUUCGAUACGGGCAGGCUAGAGUGUGGUAGGGGAGAUCGGAAUUCCUGGUGUAGCGGUGAAAUGCGCAGAUAUCAGGAGGAACACCGGUGGCGAAGGCGGGUCUCUGGGCCGAUAUUGACGCUGAGGAGCGAAAGCGUGGGGAGCGAACAGG
rnacentral:rRNA from 1 species